UACGUAGGGGGCAAGCGUUGUCCGGAUUUACUGGGCGUAAAGGGCGCGUAGGCGGUCAGCACAAGUCAGUUGUGAAAUCUCCGGGCUUAACUCGGAAAGGUCAACUGAUACUGUGCGACUAGAGUGCAGAAGGGGCAACUGGAAUUCUCGGUGUAGCGGUGAAAUGCGUAGAUAUCGAGAGGAACACCUGCGGCGAAGGCGGGUUGCUGGGCUGACACUGACGCUGAUGACGCGAAAGCCAGGGGAGCGAACGGG
rnacentral:rRNA from 1 species